GCCUGGGUGGCUCAGUCGGUUGAGCAUCCGACUUCGGCUCAGGUCACGAUCUCGCGGUCCGUGAGUUCGAGUCCCAUGUCGGGCU
rnacentral:tRNA from 1 species